AUUGAACGCUGGCGGCAGGCCUAACACAUGCAAGUCGAGCGGGGUUUUCGGACCUAGCGGCGGACGGGUGAGUAAUGCGUAGGAAGCUACCCGAUAGAGGGGGAUACCAGUUGGAAACGACUGUUAAUACCGCAUAAUGUCUACGGACCAAAGUGUGGGACCUUCGGGCCACAUGCUAUCGGAUGUGCCUACGUGGGAUUAGCUAGUUGGUGAGGUAAUGGCUCACCAAGGCGACGAUCCCUAGCUGGUUUGAGAGGAUGAUCAGCCACACUGGAACUGAGACACGGGCCAGACUCCUACGGGAGGCAGCAGUGGGGAAUAUUGGACAAUGGGCGCAAGCCUGAUCCAGCCAUGCCGCGUGUGUGAAGAAGGCCUUCGGGUUGUAAAGCACUUUCAGUAAGGAGGAAGCGUUGAGUGUUAAUAGUACUCAGCGUUGACGUUACGUACAGAAGAAGCACCGGCUAACUCUGUGCCAGCCGCCGCGGUAAGAC
rnacentral:rRNA from 1 species